UUUUUUUUUUUAAUUUUUUUAUAUCUACAUUAUGAGUUUAUUUUCCACCAUCUUUUUCCUAAUCUGCCCAGUGUGACAUUUGAGAGUUCUUUUUUCUUUUUUGGUACAAUAGUAGGCCUUUAGUUAUACAUCAGAUCACAAUAGAGAAAUCAACUUGUCUUGAGGCCCUUCUCAAAAUCUCAAAUUAUCUUCAUGAGUAUCACCAACUUAGUUAAUAAGUCUGCAUAGGCAUUCCCAAAUCUCAUAUUACAUUUGAAAGAUUUUGCACAGACAGAUGUUGAAAUAUAGUCCACAAGAUAAGAAGAAAGAGACAGGAAUUUAGUAGUGCAGUAUAUGUAAAUAUUAUAUGAUCAAAGCUGCAUUGUAAAAGUAGAACUCUCCUUACAGAUUCCAAAUGAACUGUUGUCUGAUUGGUUGAGGGCUUUUAAUGUAAUGCAUUUUCUUUGCUUCAAGAUGGCAGGCUAAUGGGGCAACGCCUAUGUUAUUAUAGGCACACAAAUUUAAAGUAUACACUAAUAUAUAAUCACAUAGAAUAGAAAAAAGAAAAAAGAAUAAUACAAGAUUUAUGUGAUUCAAUCUUAAGAUCUCGUUCACAGGUAAAAUGGGUGAAAAAGUUUCAGUAUAAUGAAAAACAGUAAGAUGUGAUCAUUCAGAACUCUCAAAUUUUUAAUUUCAGUGUAUUUUCUAAAUAUUUCAUAAAUUUACAACAAAG
rnacentral:misc_RNA from 1 species